CCGUCGAUAUCUCAUUUGGGAGAGCGGUGGACUGUAGAUCCAUAGGUCGCUGGUUCGAAUCCGGCUCGACGGA
rnacentral:tRNA from 1 species